CGCGUAGGCGGCCUGUUAAGUCUGGAGUGAAAGUCCUGCUUUCAAGGUGGGAAUUGCUUUGGAUACUGAUGGGCUCGAGUGCAGGAGAGGAAAGCGGAAUUACCGGUGUAGCGGUGAAAUGCGUAGAGAUCGGUAGGAACACCAGUGGCGAAGGCGGCUUUCUGGACUGAAACUGACGCUGAGGCGCGAAAGCGUGGGGAGCAAACA
rnacentral:rRNA from 1 species